rnacentral:rRNA from 1 species
UACGAAGGGUGCAAGCGUUAUUCGGAAUCACUGGGCGUAAAGAGCUCGUAGGCGGUUAAUUAAGUCGAAUGUGAAAUCCCUGGGCUCAAUCCAGGAAGUGCAUUCGAUACUGAUUGACUGGAGUGCAGGAGAGGAAAGCGGAAUUCCAGGUGUAGAGGUGAAAUUCGUAGAUAUCUGGAGGAACAACAGAAGCGAAGGCGGCUUUCUGGACUGUCACUGACGCUGAGGAGCGAAAGCGUGGGGAGCAAACAGG